GAUGAACGCUGGCGGCGUGCCUAAUACAUGCAAGUCGAGCGAACAGACGAGGAGCUUGCUCCUCUGAUGUUAGCGGCGGACGGGUGAGUAACACGUGGAUAACCUACCUAUAAGACUGGGAUAACUUCGGGAAACCGGAGCUAAUACCGGAUAACAUGUUGAACCGCAUGGUUCAACAGUGAAAGACGGUCUUGCUGUCACUAAUAGAUGGUUCCGCGCCGCAUUAGCUAGUUGGUAAGGUAACGGCUUACCAAGGCAACGAUGCGUAGCCGAGCUGAGAGGGUGAUCGGCCACACUGGAACUGAGACACGGUCCAGACUCCUACGGGAGGCAGCAGUAGGGAAUCUUCCGCAGUGGGCGAAAGCCUGACGGAGCAACGCCACGUGAGUGGAGAAGGUCUUCGGAUCGUAAAGCUCUGUUAUUAGGGAAGAACAAAUGUGUAAGUAGCUAUGCACGUCUUGACGGUACCUAAUCAGAAAGCCACGGCUAACUACGUG
rnacentral:rRNA from 1 species